rnacentral:tRNA from 1 species
UCUCUGGUAGUCCAGUGGUUAGGACUCCACGUUCCCAAUGCAGGAGACCCGGGUUCGAUCCCUAGUCAGGGAA